GGCUAUGCCCACAGACAUUAAGACCAUUCUCUAAAGUUGUACACAUUAAAGAGCGUGCCUCCACCUGUAGCUCCAUACUGCUUGUUGCUUAAAAUACAAUAACCACUUCUCCCAGAUGCACGACAUUCAAUCCUCCUGUAAAGAGACUGGUACCCAGGAGAAGGUAUUCUCCACAAAUUCCUUCAACCCUGAUCUCAAAUCCGCUACAUCAGAAGCCAAAAGAAGAAAAUUACCUUGAC